CCAGGCUGCAGUGAGUGAGAAGCCCACAUGCUCAGUCCAGUUUGUUUCCUUCCCCUGCUGGACACCAGCUGCUUUGGCUUCUUGGCUAUCUGGAGCCAUAGCUUCCCCCCUCUAGGAUCCCCAAACUAGCCAGCAUCUUGAAGAGAUUCGUGGAGUGGGGACACCCAAGAAACUGUGGGAACAGCACACAGCAGUGGAGGAAUAUGAGCAAGAGUUCAUAGCCAAGUGGAGGUCCCUGGACCUGGAUGUGCUGCUGGUGCCAGUUCUGGGCUCUGCCUUCUAUAUAGGCUCUUCCUCCCUAGCAUCAGAAAGUCAGUCUUAUGUGACCCUGUACAACCUCCUGGACUUUCCCGCGGGCGUGGUGCCUGUCACUAUCGUGACACUACAGGACGAGGAGGAACUGGCCUUCUACAAGGGGUGCUACGGAGAUAGUUCUGACAAAAAUUUCUCAGAGGCGGUAAGAGGAUCCGUCGGAGUUCUGGUGACUGUGCAGUGCAUUGCUUUGCCAUGGGAAGAGGAGCUGUGUCUCCGGUUCAUGAAGGAGGUGGACACCUUGGUCAAGAAUCAGAGGGGGCCCAAGUGAUAGGCUCCUGGAAUGGAGUAACAGCUCAUGAAACACGGGGCUGGUUGUGGUGGCUCAUACUUGUAAUCCCAGCAGUUCAGGAGGCAGAGGCUGGCAGAUCGCUUGAGGCCACGAGUUUGAGACCAACCUGGGCAACAUAGUGAGACCCUGCUUCUAAAGCAUUUUCUUGGUGUUACUCCUGUAGAUCCUCACCC
rnacentral:lncRNA from 1 species